rnacentral:rRNA from 1 species
AUACGGAGGAUCCGAGCGUUAUCCGGAUUUAUUGGGUUUAAAGGGAGCGUAGGUGGAUUGUUAAGUCAGUUGUGAAAGUUUGCGGCUCAACCGUAAAAUUGCAGUUGAAACUGGCAGUCUUGAGUACAGUAGAGGUGGGCGGAAUUCGUGGCGUAGCGGUGAAAUGCUUAGAUAUCACGAAGAACUCCGAUUGCGAAGGCAGCUCACUAGACUGCAACUGACACUGAUGCUCGGAAGUGUGGGUAUCAAACAGGAUUAGAUACCCUGGUAGUCCACACAGUAAACGAUGAAUACUCGCUGUUUGCGAUAUACAGUAAGCGGCCAAGCGAAAGCAUUAAGUAUUCCACCUGGGGAGUACGCCGGCAACGGUGAAACUCAAAUGAAUUGACGGGG